rnacentral:rRNA from 1 species
AAUCAACGCUGGCGGCGUGCCUAACACAUGCAAGUCGAACGCGAAAGGGACUUCGGUCCUGAGUAGAGUGGCGAACGGGUGAGUAACGCGUGGGUGAUCUACCCUCGAGUGGGGAUAACGUUCCGAAAGGGACGCUAAUACCGCAUACGCCCUGAGGGGGAAAGUGGGGGAUCGCAAGACCUCACGUUAUUCGAGCGGCCGACGUCUGAUUAGCUAGUUGGUGGGGUAAAGGCCUACCAAGGCGACGAUCAGUAGCGGGUCUGAGAGGAUGAUCCGCCACACUGGAACUGAGACACGGUCCAGACUCCUACGGGAGGCAGCAGUGGGGAAUUUUGGACAAUGGGGGCAACCCUGAUCCAGCCAUUCCGCGUGAGUGAAGAAGGCCUUCGGGUUGUAAAGCUCUUUCAGCUGGAACGAAACGGUACAUCCUAAUACGGUGUGCUAAUGACGGUACCAGCAGAAGAAGCACCGGCUAACUACGUGCCAGCAGCCGCGGUAAUGUCUAG